CAUGUCUCAGUACAAGCCACAUUAAGGUGAAACCGCGAAAGGCUCAUUAAAUCAGUUAUGGUUCCUUAGAUCGUACCCACAUUUACUUGGAUAACUGUGGUAAUUCUAGAGCUAAUACAUGCAAACAGAGUCCCGACCGGAGACGGGAGGGAUGCUUUUAUUAGAUCAAAACCAAUCGGCGGCGGGCGCGUUCGCGCGUGCCCGUUCGCCGCUCAACUUGGUGACUCUGAAUAACUUUCGGCUGAUCGCACGGUCUCGCACCGGCGACGCAUCUUUCAAAUGUCUGCCUUAUCAACUGUCGAUGGUAGGUUCUGCGCCUACCAUGGUCGUAACGGGUAACGGGGAAUCAGGGUUCGAUUCCGGAGAGGGAGCCUGAGAAACGGCUACCACAUCCAAGGAAGGCAGCAGGCGCGCAAAUUACCCACUCCCGGCACGGGGAGGUAGUGAC
rnacentral:rRNA from 1 species